AUUUGUGAAUGAAGCGCAACGUGGAGGGCAUCUUUAUAGCACGGCCCCGGCCUGGGCCCCGCCCACCUGACGUCAGUUGGUUUGGGAAUGCAUCAGCAGCUGUCAGUGGGUUGAUUCAAGGCUGUGUGUGUGUGGGCGAAAGGCUGGAGGCUCAGAGGCCAGAGGAAGUGGACCAAAAAGAACUGACUUCAUCACAUGACUCAUGUUUGCUGUGCAUCGCCCGUCUCCUGGAGUUUGUUUAAGAAGCUGACAGUCAUCAAGUCUCCACUGCAAACAAGCUUGACCCCUCGAGGAACCUCGUGGAGCUCCAGGGAUGUUUGGUGUUGCCUGGAGGUGUGCGCACCUGGUGUGACUGUUUUGAGGAAACUUUGUGGUGAAGGCAUGCCCGGGCUCUGUGACUCAGCGUGGGCGGCAGCAAGCUGCAGUGGAACACUUUGCUUGCCAAAGGAAGACCCAGUGACUCAGUUGGACUCCAUGCAUGAGUGUUUGUCAAAGGAGACAUGAAGUAUACUACAAACAGUUUUUUCAGCCGGAGGCAGCGGGUGAUACAUCAGGGCCCAGCUGGGAUAGACUCCACUCCAGCUCCUUGUGACCUCCUCAACAGGAUAAGAAUGGAUGGAUUAAGACGAUAAGAAUGGAUGAAUGGAUGGCUUAAGAAGUCGUAUAAUUAUUUUAUUUUUGGCCCUAAGCCCCACCCUUAGAAUACACUUGUGGGGUGUUACUUAUUCCAGUCAUUGGGGUAAAGGCAAGUCCAGUCAAUGAAUGCACAACAACAGAUGUAACAGUUUCAUGUCUAACGGUGUUAGUGAUUGUGUGUGUCAACAUUUGUACACAGGGUACACAUUUUGGGAAUAAAUUUAAUACAACGAAACCUCAAACAUUCAUUUAACCUCAAGUCGCCCAUUGAAA